rnacentral:lncRNA from 1 species
AUGCUGGGGCUGCCACCCCCCCUGCUGAGCCCCCCGCCGAGCUCUGUUCCCGGCUCUGGGAUGGAGGAGAAAGCGCAGGGUGGGAUGCGGGGUGCGGGGUGCGGAGAGGCCGGCGGGGGUCCCGCAGCUGCCGGCGGGGCAAGGGGACAGGAGGAGGAGGAGGAGGAAGAGGAGGGGGGAGGAGGAAGAGGAGGAGGGAUGGGGAGGGGCGCUGCGAGCGGGAGCCAUGUGUCCGCCGGGCACAAAGGGAUUUGGGGCUCCCCGGUGGAGCCGCAGCCCGGUGCCUGGAGACGGGGCGAGCCCGCAGUGCGCGGACACCCCCCCCCGCAUCCCCCCUGCACCGCGGAUGAAGGAGGGGGUGGGAUUAAACUCUCCCCCCCUGUCCCGGAGCGCUCUCCGGGCACAGAGCCGUCCCCCUGCCGGUGCCAGGGCACGGCGGCUCCCUCGGGUACGGGCCGGGCUGGCUGCUGCCGGGGCAAUGCCCUCCCGGCCCCCCCUUCACCACUUGAGUUUUUCCACUUGGCUGUCCCAACGGGAGGGGGAAGGGGCACGGUGCUCGCAAAAACCGUUUUCAUGGUAACAGCAAAGUUCCCUCCGUGUGAAAGCAAACUUUGUAGGGUUGGGGUGACGGGAGUGGGGCUGCGCGGAGCUGUCAAUCACGGCCCUCCCUUUCCGUCCCUGCCCUCCCUUCCCCUCCCUUUCCCUCUUCUUCCUCCCUUCCUCGCCCGGCACCUGCAGGGCCAGCAGCUCUGGCAAGACACCGCGGGCACGGAGCCGCCCAGCCCUGCCCCACUCUUUCUCCCUCAUCCUCCCCCCGCCAGCUCCUCGAGGGGGUCCUGGAGCCGCGGUGCUGGAGGAGGUGACAAUUCUCUUCAAACACCGCUCAUCUCUUUACCUAUGAACAUAAACCCGGCUGAAUAAAAAAGCACAGGUUUGUAUUUCCAGACUUCGCAGAUCCCCGGAGCACUCUCGCUGCAUCAGGGAUUUGGUGCCGCGCACAUUGUGCAGAAUACUUAAGACUGGGGCUGGUUUCUGUUCCUAGAAGAAGGGACGGGCAGGGCACGCAGCUGGGAACCCUCUCUCAGCACUGCCUGUGGGUCCAUCCCCAGGACUCCCAAGGGGAUUUCUUCACCCGUUUGGGAGUGCAGGAGGAAGGAGCCCGGUGCCCAAGGGGCUGCAUCCCAGCCCGCACGGCGCCGCCACCGCGGCUCCUGCCCAGCCGUGCACCCCCGGGGUCUGCGGGACAGCAGGAUGGGAGACUCGGAGCUCAGGGGCUCGGAGCAUCCCACCACGGGCACCCCAAUGCAAGCGGAACCGGGGCAAGGAGGAGUAAGCAAGCCCUCCUCCACCAGCUGCGAUUUCCUAAAGUCAUCUUGCGGAACACUUGCAAAAGUCUGACCCCCCGGCCAAACGGCUUGCAGCCACCAGCGCCUGGUCCCUUGUUCCCUGUGCCCCACACCCGGAGCCAUUUUCCUAAAUUUGCUCUGUCAGGACUGGGGGAGAAGCUGUCUGGGGCUAGGAGAGCCCCCUGUGUCUGGGGGGGGGGGGGGGGGGGGGGGGGGGGGGCGGGGGGGGGGGGAAAUACGGAUGUACAGGGGGGGGGGGUUUUGGUUGUUUUUUCUUUUCCUUUUUUUUUUUUUUUUUUCUUUUUUUCUUUUUUGGUGAUAAAGGAGCGUGAGGUGAAAUCAGGAGUUUACAGCACAAGCCAAGUUGAACGGGAGAAACCUGACGGCUGAAAAGGCACGUUGGAAAAGGGACCGCCUGCUUCUCAAGCAAUCAGCGCUUAAUAAGCAAUAGCCAUUAAUAUCUGUUAAUUGCAGGACCAGCAGAGCUAGGGGGAAUCUUGGAACUGUGUCAGGAAAGAUCACCGGCUUGUGAAGAAUAACGCUACGCACCAAACCAGCCCUGUUUAAUCCUAUUAUUAAAACAAUUCCCUCGGCCCCCAGCGUAACUCCCGACGAGCGGUGGGGGCUUGUCCUCACAACUUGCCCCGUUCGUUUGGACCACUGUUAGGAUGAUCCCCCGAAAAUGCCCAUAAGAUGCUUAAAAUCAAAGUUCACCUGCUUUUUUGUUUAGAUCUUGUUCUAGACCCCCCCAGCCCAGCGAGAGGGGCAUACACCACCAGUUCCCACCAGCCUUGCCACACGGCUGCGGCUGUCCCCGCUGCUCAUCCAUACAGGAAAGCGAGGGAUCCUCUGGAUAUGACAUCAUUAAACCCAGCAACAUUUAGGAACAAAAAUCUCAGGAGCGUGGUAAAAGCCACGUCGUUUGGGUACAGAUCGAUUCCUUUGAGCCAAGCUUCCCGGUGCAUUCAGGAGGCAGCGGCAAAUGUUGUUUUUAAUCACUUUUUCCCCCCAGCUGAACUUUUAUUUGGCUUCUGACAACAAUAGCGGGCUGCAAACAGACCUCUCGGAGCGCCCGCUGAAUAGACUCUUUUCUAGCCCGGAUUGUUUCCACCGGCACAGAAAACAACCAGUAGCUCCGUUUCUUAAUUGGGUUGUUCCUGGCCCUCGUUCAUUCAGGUGUUCGGGAGGAAUUUGUUUAUUAGCCUCUGACAAACAGCUCCUCCUGGUAAUCGCCUCAUGGGGCUGGCUUCUGCCGGAGAGCAGGGAUGCGGGGGGGAGGGAGACUGCUAAUAAGGACCCCCUCAUCUCCAAGUUACCAAUUAACAGGGUUGUAGAGGGGACCACCAGCACAGGACAACUCACCAGGGCUCGCUGCGGAGCCCCAAUGAAGAAAUCAGUUUAACUCACGUGUUUCCAUGCAGAAACACGGAGUCAAACCACCCAAAAACGAGCAUGAGAACUGAUGCUAAAGAGACGAGCGCUGCACUAGCGGCGGUUGUUGUGGGGCAGCCUGCGUUGUAUCUGAGAGAAAUCCCUUUUAAAAGAGAAGAGGCAGUAACAGGAACUUCGCAACUUCUCUCCACUCCUCCAAGUCCCCACAACUCUCCUCCUGCGGGUCAUUCCCGUUGGCCACAGCUGCCACCAGCAGUGCACUCCCUUCCAUCCCCGCACUCCCCCGGCCCCAAACACCCCAGAUGCACCCCCACACACACCACGUUGGGUGGCCCAGGGUCCUGUCCCCUGCGAGAUGGGGUUUGGAUGGGACACAGGGACAAGCGUGGGGAGAAACAGACCUGCCCCCAGCACACUUUAGCGGGGGUCUCUCAAAAAGCCCCGUUAUGCUUGCCUCUGGCUACCCCAAGGGGCUGGAGCCAUCCUGGGGGGCUUGCUGUGGGCCUUCAAGGGCCCUUCCCCUCCUGCUGGAGAGGGCUGAGAUAUCACUGCUCUCAUUCUUCAGAAAAAGAAAAAAAAACCUCAAUCAUCUCUGUUUUACCCGUUUAAAAAUUCGCAAAUCUAUCUUUCCUCUAAUGUUUUCCAUACGGUUUCAGUAACCCACCUUAUUUGCUGGUACCGAUGGCUAGGCUCCUUUUUAUGAGUCAUAUUAGAAAUCAGACAUUAAUUGUAAAACUGUAACUUUCUAAUUAGCUGCAAAUAAACUAUUAAUUAGUGGCA